CGCGGCUCGGCUCGGCCCAGCCCUCCCCUGCGCAGCCCGGGUCGCAGCAGGGCUCACCCUGCCACCGCAAGUCGAGCAGCAGCCACCCGAGAGCCCGAGCUUCGGCCGAGGUCACUGCGGGCAAGCCCAGGGAGCUGACGCAUGCUCGGUAACAGCCAAGCCGCUGGUUGAGCCGGGGAACGACGCUUUGUGACCCUCCCCCUCCGCCGCCCUUAUCCUGAGUGGCUCAGCGCCCGGGCUGCUCGUGAAGGUCACAAUGGCCACGCGCGGAGCGUGCAGCGCUGGCAGCCAGGGGAGGGGAAGGGAAGGGCCUGCAGCCCCGGGGAAAGAAGCUGCUCCCAGCGGGGAAAAUAGCCAAAGAGUGAAGUAACAAUGACACAGCUUAAUAUAUCAUGAUGAAUCAGAUCCAUGCAGAAAGAAGACUGCUCCCAUUGGGUUUAAGUGAUGAAGAAAGAAAAGAAAAAGAAAACAGAAUGAUAAGAACCAACCUCCCUUCCCAGAAAAUCCCAAAACUUGGUGUCAACAAAUGUUUUCCCACAGUUUGCUGCCACCAGGGAUUGCUUCCUGAACUAAACCAGAGAAUUGCAGAAGAGUCACCUCUUUCCCCCAAACUGGACAAAUAUAAGCUGGCAAGAUUUUUAGCUGACAAGGCAAUCAGGGUAUGUGUGUUGACAAUAGAUUUUAGUGGUUUGUUUUUCCAUUUACGAUACUGAGCUAAUAGGUUUU
rnacentral:lncRNA from 1 species